rnacentral:lncRNA from 1 species
CAAAACUGGCAUGCUGCCUCUCUCUGACCAUUCUUCUUUAGUUACCUCUCCCUCCUAUCACCACCAGGAAAAGUUCUUGGCUUUUAAUGACUCACAUGAUUGGUAUUGACCCACCUGGAUAAUCCAGGAUUAUUUCCACAUCUCUUGACCAACACAACCGUAUCUAUAAAGUCCUUUUUGCCAUGUUUCUGGUAACAUGUUCACACAUAUUCACAGGUUCUAAAGAUUAAGAUGUGGAAAUCUUUGCGGGGCCAUUUUUCUGCCUACCACAAAGGAUAAUAACAUUGGUCAAAUCUGUAAGCAUAACCACAGAAUCACCAAGGAAGCAGUGAAUCACCAAUGAAGACCAUUUCAUUCACAACUUUGGGGCACUAUGUACAAGGAUACAACACGAAUGUAGCCCUUUGGAGGGCCAAGGAGUAAUUGAUACACAUUUAUGUUCUCCAUAAAUAUUGGAAAUACGAAUGACUGAUGAAGAAGGCUUGCCCAGUGCCAGAAAAUUACGUCCUGAUUUCAGAGUCCUGGGAUCCAGACUUCCUUCCUUCUCCACAGGCUCCCUGCUCAGUGGGGAGUCUGCUUCUCUCACUCCCUCCGCUCCUCCUCCUGCUUGGGCUCCUGCUCACACGCUCUCUCUCUCUCUCUCAAA